rnacentral:rRNA from 1 species
CUACGGGGUGCAGCAGUGGGGAAUAUUGCACAAUGGGCGCAAGCCUGAUGCAGCCAUGCCGCGUGUAUGAAGAAGGCCUUCGGGUUGUAAAGUACUUUCAGCGGGGAGGAAGGGAGUAAAGUUAAUACCUUUGCUCAUUGACGUUACCCGCAGAAGAAGCACCGGCUAACUCCGUGCCAGCAGCCGCGGUAAUACGGAGGGUGCAAGCGUUAAUCGGAAUUACUGGGCGUAAAGCGCACGCAGGCGGUUUGUUAAGUCAGAUGUGAAAUCCCCGGGCUCAACCUGGGAACUGCAUCUGAUGACUGGCAAGCUUGAGUCUCGUAGAGGGGGGUAGAAUUCCAGGUGUAGCGGGGAAAUGCGUAGAGAUCUGGAGGAAUACCGGUGGCGAAGGCGGCCCCCUGGACGAAGACUGACGCUCAGGUGCGAAAGCGUGGGGAGCAAACAGGAUUAGAUACCCGCGUAGUC